AGUAAAAGUCGUAACAAGGUUUCCGUAGGUGAACCUGCGGAAGGAUCAUUAACGAAUUGCGUUCGGGGUUGUUGCUGGUUUUCUUUGAAACGGGAAAGCACGUGCACGCCUCGCAAUCCAUUUCAAACCACACUUGUGCACUUCAGAGGGAGGCCUCUCCCGGUCUCUCCUCUUUCAUCACUAUAAACCACCUUUAAAGUCCUUUGUAUUUUUUUGGUUAAUUAUAAUUGAAAUACAACUUUCAACAACGGAUCUCUUGGCUCUCGCAUCGAUGAAGAACGCAGCGAAAUGCGAUAAGUAAUGUGAAUUGCAGAAUUCAGUGAAUCAUCGAAUCUUUGAACGCACCUUGCGCUCCUUGGCAUUCCGAGGAGCAUGCCUGUUUGAGUGUCGUGUAAUUCUCAAUCUCGACUCGUUUGUUGUAGAUUGGAUUUGGGAGCUUGUCGUGUCUCUUCUCUUUGAGAAAAGAAAAGAGGUUGGACUCUCCUUGAAUGCAUUAGCUCGGUCACGUAGUUUGCCCGACGGUUCACGGUGUGAUAGUCUCACUUCAUCGCCGUUCCAACCGUUGGUGCCUGUGUCAUUGCCGGCUUCAAAUCUCUGGCCCUUGUAAAAAGAGUGCCUUUACACUUUUGACGCUUGACCUCAAAUCAGGUAGGAUUACCCGCUGAACUUAAGCAUAUCAAUAAGCGGAGGAAAAGAAACUAACAAGGAUUCCCCUAGUAACUGCGAGUGAAGCGGGAAGAGCUCAAAUUUAAAAUCUGGCGGGUUUCCCGUCCGAGUUGUAAUCUGGAGAAGCGUCUUCCGUGC
rnacentral:rRNA from 1 species